rnacentral:rRNA from 1 species
GUGGGGAAUAUUGGACAAUGGGCGAAAGCCUGAUCCAGCAAUGCCGCGUGAGUGAAGAAGGCCUUAGGGUUGUAAAGCUCUUUUACCCGGGAAGAUAAUGACUGUACCGGGAGAAUAAGCCCCGGCUAACUCCGUGCCAGCAGCCGCGGUAAUACGGAGGGGGCUAGCGUUGUUCGGAAUUACUGGGCGUAAAGCGCACGUAGGCGGCUUUGUAAGUUAGAGGUGAAAGCCCAGGGCUCAACCCUGGAACUGCCUUUAAGACUGCAUCGCUUGAACACGGGAGAGGUGAGUGGAAUUCCGAGUGUAGAGGUGAAAUUCGUAGAUAUUCGGAGGAACACCAGUGGCGAAGGCGGCUCACUGGCUCGAUACUGACGCUGAGGUGCGAAAGCGUGGGGAGCAAACAGGAUUAGAAACCCGUGUAGUCC